GACGAACGCUGGCGGCGUGCUUAACACAUGCAAGUCGAACGGAAAGGCCCUGCUUUUGUGGGGUGCUCGAGUGGCGAACGGGUGAGUAACACGUGAGUAACCUGCCCUUGACUUUGGGAUAAAUUCAGGAAACUGGGGCUAAUACCGGAUAGGAGCUCCUGCUGCAUGGUGGGGGUUGGAAAGUUUCGGCGGUUGGGGAUGGACUCGCGGCUUAUCAGCUUGUUGGUGGGGUAGUGGCUUACCAAGUCUUUGACGGGUAGCCGGCCUGAGAGGGUGACCGGCCACAUUGGGACUGAGAUACGGCCCAGACUCCUACGGGAGGCAGCAGUGGGGAAUAUUGCACAAUGGGCGGAAGCCUGAUGCAGCAACGCCGCGUGCGGGAUGACGGCCUUCGGGUUGUAAACCGCUUUCGCCUGUGACGAAGCGUGAGUGACGGUAAUGGGUAAAGAAGCACCGGCUAACUACGUG
rnacentral:rRNA from 1 species